rnacentral:misc_RNA from 1 species
CUCCCUCUUGACCCUUCUUGAUUCGCACGCAAAGCUUUAGCGAUGGAAGACUUUCUUGAGAUGACCCUAAUAUCUCUGACUUUAUGAAAGAGAACGUGUGUGACCUUAUGGGUAGAGAGAGGACCAGUUUAUAUAUAUAUCCAAGACUUAAUAUGAUACAUCCAUCAAGUAUCUUUAUACAGUUAGAAUUAGGAUUUACUUUAAUUAGAGUAAUCCUUGUACAAUUAGGAUUUGUAUUAA